rnacentral:rRNA from 1 species
UACAGAGGGUGCAAGCGUUGUUCGGAAUUAUUGGGCCUAAAGCAUCCGUAGCCGGUUCUUCAAGUCUCCCGUUAAAUCCAGCCGCUCAACGGAUGGGCUGCGGAAGAUACUACAGGACUAGGAGGCGGGAGAGGCAAGCGGUACUCAGUGGGUAGGGGUAAAAUCCUUUGAUCCAUUGAAGACCACCAGUGGCGAAGGCGGCUUGCCAGAACGCGCUCGACGGUGAGGGAUGAAAGCUGGGGGAGCAAACCGG